rnacentral:lncRNA from 1 species
UCGAUUUGACAUUCGGUGGUUUAGAAUAUUUAGAAAAUACGGAAUAUAGUUAUUUUUCGUUGGGAAAGCAAGAUGUUUAAUCUUUAGAUGAAUUUGAUUAUUGGCUCGAGUAGGAAGUGAGUUCACUCUCAUGCUCUGGUCUCUGACUUUUCUUUGUUUGACUUAUAGCAAAACUCGCUCUAAUGCCCACACUUUUAGAGGUGUGUCGUGUGACUAGUUGUCUUUCUUCUUUUUUUAUAGGUGGUCAAGUCUACCUCCCUUUCCCUUCAGCUUGCUCUUUUUUGGUGGUAUGUUGUUUCGUGUCUUUGAGUAGGCUCGUUUUUAUGGAGUAAUUUUUUUUCUUGGUGUUUUAAUGUAAGUGGAAAUAUUUUUUUGUUUUGUUUUUUUAGAAUUGAAGACAGGAUUUAGAAACAUGUGACUUUUGUCUAAGAAGAAGUAAGAUAACAUAUAUAAAAUGUAAGUUCAACUAAAUGAGAAGUGUUUCGAAUUUAUAUGUGAAAGUUGGAAGUCAUAUCAUCUCACAAGUCACGCGGUUUAAAUAUCUUGGGUCUAUGUUACAAAAUGAUAGAGAAAUAGAAGAGGAUAUAAAUUAUCAAAUGCAAGAUGAGUGAAUGAAAUGGAUGAAGGCUU